CCGGGGUGCAGUGAGGAAUCAACAGUCUACGUUCCCGCCUCUCGCCCUAACGGACGACUGUGACGUCACGAGGUGGGGGCUGGGUCUUCCGAUCAAACUCCGAAGGUCAAGUACCCGAGUAACAUAUAAGGACCUUUGUCAGGGAGUCCCAUCCAGACCACCAAUACCGUGAUUUGUGAGCGCUUCUCACCCCGUGCAGCCCGCCACCCAGCUACUCUCGUGUCAAACAUGGGUCUAUUGGAUGUUCCGUAUCAAAUCUACAUUUUCGUCGCCAAACUCUUCGGACUGUUCUUCUUAUUUGUUCAUGGCAUAGCAUUUCGAAUGUGGAACUAUGGGAUUAAGCCAGCGCUGAGCAAAGAGGAUGCUAAAAGUCUGGGAGAUGUCAGCGCCAUGGCGUCGUUGAACACGCCGCGAAGCUCCCUGUCAUGGCCUUUGUGUUGUGGUGGAACCUCAUGAUAGCCUCGGUGGAAGCCAUUUUCAGGCCCCUGAACGUGACGAUCGCCAGGUUCAGUUCUUUGUUGUGGGGCCAUGAGGAUCCUGAGAGAAGCAACAACACCACUUUCAACAACGACAAAUAGUAACCCGGACACAGGAAGCGAACCCUUGAGGAAACUGUCUCUUGAGGACGUCAGACACGACCCUGACUGACCUCUCGUGUGUGUUGAAAGAUGUUUGCCAGUGCACUUAUAUUGUCCAGAUGGCAAGGAAGAGGUGUAAAUACACGUGUGUAGAAGAAAUCAUUAAAAUAAAUAUACGUGUAUAUUUCAUCACGUGCAUCUGAAAGUGACAAAAUAUUUACUCAUCCACCGAAGAAAUGUCAAAAUCGUAUAUUCUAGCUACUUGCUACACACACACACACACAAACACACAGAGAGGGAGAGAAAGAGUAAUUUAUAAUAAAUUUAAAAAUUCUGAUGCUUGCGAAGUUUUGUAUGUGCAUGUUGAUGAUGGUAAUGUGUUGUUCAAAGCUGAUUAAUUCUGGACCAUAUUAAAUAAAGUCUCAUACUUCACUGUC